AGACUAGUGCUUCCUGGUCUGGAUUUGGUAAACAGAGCAAUAUUAACAUGCAUAGCUGACACAUGCUCCCGAUUAUUAUUUUCUUACUUAAGUUAUAUAAUAACACAAUUAUAGGCAUUUAAGCGUAUCACCGGAACCCCCCCCCCCCCCAUUCAUUGAAGUGCGUCACACACAGCAGAGUCCGCCGUCCACAACGGGAAGGGGCCAUGUCGAUGCUGCUCCUAAUUUCGUGCUUUUACUAACGGUAUAGGAAAUGUACUGAUAGAAUUGCACUUAUAUCGAAUUUUGGAAGGAAGGGAACACCAUACCAAGAUACAAUAAUGUCUGCGGACAAUUUUCAGACAAAAUACUCUUCCGUCAUGGAGAGUAUGCUCAAGGCUGCAAUCGCAGAGACCACGAAACUUUUCGAAACUAUGGUCGACGAACUGAAGGCAGAAAUAUCCAACAUGAAAAAGGAGAACGAGGAACUCAAAACAAGAUGCUGCCAGUUUGCGAGUGAGAGAAACCAACCAACUGUUUGUAUCAUUUCCGGAGAACGGGAGCUUCUUCCAGGGCCCAGCGACGGCACUGAGCAACGUGAUCAAGCUAUUCAAUGCGAUCUUGUUCCAUUCAGAAUGAUGCAAGUGGAGCAAUGUCAACCUUUGAAUCAUCUGGAAAUUGAUAACACUUUGCACGACCACAAUUAUGGAGAGGGAGCUACUCAAAUGGCCAUUAUAGUUGUCAAACAGGAGGAUUCCGAUGAUUCUUCUUCGCAUUCUGUCAUGAAGCAAGAGGAAGUUGAGCCAAUGGAGGUCUGCGGGCAAGUUUCAGGUGAUCAACCAGAUCCUCCCCAGGCCUCUGCCUGUGCAACUGAAACAGAAGGGCAUCCCAUUAACCAGGAAAGUUCAACUGGAGUAAUAACCAUGCCUCAAAAAGAGACCCCAGUAUCCCUGGAACAACCCUAUUUGGGAAGCGAUAGAGGUCUACAAGGAGCUCAGAACCAAUUGCCUAUAUUGGUGCCUUCAAUAGUGUUCUCACUUGCUUCAUUAAACAACAACAUAGAAGAAGAGUCUGAAGCAAGUCAAAAGAUAUCAACAACACAGGAAGAACUCUUAACAUCAGAAAAGCACCUAUCGGUGGUUGCUCAUAAUGUGGUCAACCAACAAUGUCCAAAGGAGGGCAAAACAUCAGUAAAUGAACAGGCUGAUAUUAUUCUGAAUUAUGCAGGGAAACAAUUUGCAAAAUGUAAACAACUCCAUGAAGAACAAGCAUUAGAAAAAUCAAAAAGUGGCGAAGGGGAGGGUCAUCCCCAGCCUGAGUUGUCAGGAAGACGUAGAAGAGGACGGCCGCCAAAGCAAGCCAAAUGUCAGCAACAACCUAUGGAAGAAAAUGGUUCUCCGGCUGUUUCAGUACCAUCUGUAGCUAUAAGAUGUUCCUCUAGAAAGGGAAGAACCUCUAAACCCAAACAACUUUCCAUGGAAAAGGAAAAGAUGUCAAUUCAAACUCCAUCCACUAAAUCUUUAUCUUUAAUUGAAACAUUAAACCCUCCCGAAGGUGAGUCCAGAGAACGUUUCAGCUCUGUAACUCUUCAAGAUGCAAUGCUGUUAGUUGAAGCAAUGAAUCAGUCAACAGUGGCUAUGGCGGCACCGGCUAAACCCCAGAGUGCUUCUCAUGUGAGCAUCCUACAAACUGUGGUUGAGGUCCCAACAGAGCCACAGACACCACCGCUUCAUGUUGAAAUGCGUAAAGCUGCAGGCAAUCUGCCCAUUACAGAACUCUCUACAAAAGACCAAUCGACCAUAGAGAAACAAAAUUACUGUUCAGUAAAUUCAGAUACAUCUCCGAGCAAUGUGCUUCAGUCGAACAUUGACUUUGUCAUACCAAAACAACAGCAUAAAGUAAUUCCAUCUAAACCUACUACAGCUUUAAUUCCCUCAACAGAUGUUGCAGUUCAAAGCAUUCUGUGGGCACUUCAAGAUCAACCUUUUGCUUCUCCAUUAUCAGUAGCAACCAGCAAACCGCUUAAGGCGGUCUCACGUAAAAUAAUUGCCAUGCCAAGAUCAGUAUCCUUCUUAAAACCUCCUAAAAUAGGAGCUUUAUCUCCGUCUCAGCUUCCUGCUGUUGUGUCAAAAGUUGUUGCUGCACAGAAAAAGAGUAUAAUUCCAGACUCCUUAACUGCUGGCUUGCCUCUCGGAACCCCUUUUAAAGCCUCUGUUCCUCAGAAAAUAAUAGACGCUGCGUCCAUGAAAUUGUUUUCUGCUGACCCUUCACAGUCGACCACAACCUCAAAAGAGCCAUUGUCAGGGCCCCCACAACAACCUAAAUUAACAAUAAUAAUUCCAAGAAAAGUGUCAGCUUUGGCGUCAAGGAAGUUUAAUUCACAGACCAUCGCUGUGAAAACCAUGCAAGGUACAGCCAAAUCAGAUGCUCCUGUUACGCUGUCAUCACCCAAUUUGAUUUCACCGUCACAGGAGUUAAGGAUUAUUGUGAGUCCACAGAUUGCUUCAGAUGAAAAAACCAAAGUGUUGUUUCAAAACAAGAGUGAAACAUCAGAACCUAUUUUAGAAUGUCCCCAACAAAAUGUCUCUGUUUCUGAGCUAAUGAAAGCCCGUACAGAAAACGUUCCCAGUUCAAACACGUCAAUGGGGCCAGUGCCUCCCUCUGUGACUCCAGUGAGAACGCAAAUUGUUGCACCAAAAUUCUCCGCCGUGGUCAGAUUAACUAGGCUCUCGUUUCCAAUAUCAGCCAAAGAAGCAGUCAAAGUCUCAAGACUGCCUACAGAUGGAUCUUCUGAAAACUUGAAAGAAGGUAUCACAAAAGAGAAACCAUCACCUAUGGUUAUAUCAACGCAGCCAUCAAAGACGCUUGUGUCAUCCACUGAGUUGUGUCCCAGUUUGAAAGAAACUCCUGUGGUUCUGCCUGUGAAUACGUCUCAGAUGACAGAGCAGCCAAAAGUUAUUCAAGAGAAGGUAUCAUUAUCCUCUGAAGGCAGUACACCAGUCAAGGUGUCAACACCAAACUUUGAGAACUCAACAUUGGCCAUCAACACAACUAAGCCUCGAAUUGUGUCUGGCGGAGUUGGUUUACCUACUUCUAAUGAGGAUAAGGAUAUAAUUGAAUUUGGAGAGCAAGAUUUGGCAUCACCUAAUGACCAACCUACAAAAAAGAAAUCAUCAGCUGCCAUCAUUCAUCUUACUCCAAUCACCACCAAGGACAUGCCAAGUCCUCAUUCACAGAUGACUAAAGCCCAGUUCCUUGCGCAGCUGGCAGUGAAACCUAUUACGGAAGACCCAACAAAGGCUUCCUCUAAUUACUCAAUGGAUGCCACAGCUUCCAAUGCAGACACCAGAACUGGAGUCAAGAAAAGGUUACAAAAAAAAUCUAUUUUGGCCAAACGCCAAAGUCAUCUCAAAACUCAAAUAACUAAAAAUGUUACAUCUCCAACCAAGACAACUGAUCACCCUGUUCCUUUGAGUCCCAGGAGAUCUAGACAAUCUGGUGUUGGAUGCAAAAGGACUGUUAGUGAUCCACCUGUCAAUUCUAAGCGGUUUAAGGCUACUAGAGAAUCCACUCCUUUGAGUCCCCGGUCUACUGUAGAUGUUGUCUCCACAACCGAACAACCAACUUCUCUGAGUCCUAGGAGGUCUAACUUUACUAAACAAAAUGCUAGCUCUAAAAAGGCUAAAUCAACUUCUGUCAGCCCUAGGAGGUCAACCUUAAGUAAACAAAGUGCUAGCUCUAAAAAGGUUAAAUCCACUAAGAUGAGUCCCAGAGAAUCUAUCUCAAUUAAAGAAAGUGCAAGCCCUCAAAAGACAAAAUCCACUUCUGCAAGUCCUAGAAGGGGUAGCUCAUCUCAUGAAAGUGAUAGCUCAAAAAAGACUGAAAGCAUUUCUCUGCGUCCUGGAAGGAUUAGUUCAACUAGGGAUUGCACUAGCUCUAAAAGUUCUAAAACCACUUGUGUGGACCCAAAGGGGACUAGCCCUAAAGUGAUCUUCAAGGAGUCGCCUUCUUUCUGCCGUAGAAAAUGUACCUUACCUAAAGAUCUUACUAGCAGUGCACUGACUAAAGGGGAAACCAGUUCCUUUAAUCCUGGGUAUAGAAUAACUUCCGACGAGGCUAGAACUAAAAACGUUAAGUUGAAUCCUGGUUCCCCAAGUAUUAGGUGGCCUAAAUUGGCUAAAGGUGGUGUCAGUCCUAAAAGUAAAAGGAAAUCUACUGUUGUUAAAAACAACAGAUUAAGUCCAGAUGUUACCGGUCCUGAAAAGAAUUUAAGAGUGGUGAAUGGUAACAAGUUGUCUAAAGCAACAAAAGCCAAAACAAUGGCCAAAAUGAGACUCUCCAGUCAAUCAAAGUUGCAGAAUGUAGCUAAAACAAGCCAGUCAGCAGAGAACAGUGAUGCUGAGAAAAAAAUUACAGCUAAAGCCAUCUGGACUCCUCCUACAGUAUUAGCCAAUAAAAAACCUCCUACUGGGGUGAAGAAAGACACAAAAUCACCAGGAUCCCUGAAUCAAUCGCUAGUUUUCCCUCCAAGUGUUUCUCUCUUCCCCAUACCUGUCCGAGGACCUCCUGUUAUAUCACCACUACAGCCUUUAUCAGUCAUUGGUAGGCGCCUGCUCAAGAACCAGUGUGGGCAGUGCGGUCGUGUCCUCAGCAGCGUUGCAGCCCUAGAAAGCCAUGUUCGUCUCCACACUGGUCGCCGACCUUUCUCGUGCACGCUCUGUGGGAAGGGCUUCACAGACUCAAAAGGUCUCAAACGCCAUGGACGGGUGCACCGCAAUGGUAGAAUCCAUGUCUGCCCACAGUGCGGGAAGGGCUUUGUCUAUAGUUUCGGCCUCACCAAACACCUCAAGAUGGUGCACAGGAGGAUUAAGCCUUUUAUCUGCCAGAUCUGCAACAAGGGGUUCUUCACAAAACGAGAUGUGGAAGCCCAUCUACGGAUGCACACUGGAGAGAAACCAUUUCAUUGCAACCUGUGUGAAAAGAAAUUUGCAAGGAGGGUAGAACUUAAUAUGCAUUUAAGGUGGCAUAAUGGGGAGAAGAGACACUGGUGUUCAUACUGUGGGAAAGGAUUUUUAGACUGCAAUAACUUGAAAAGGCAUAAGUAUAUUCACACAGGGGAGAAACCACAUUCCUGUCCUCAAUGUCCCAAGAGUUUCACGCAGUCAGCCCACCUGAAAAAGCAUGUAAAAAAUGUUCAUAAAAUCCCAUGAGAUAUGGACAUCCAAUAUGCCACCCUUUUCCUCUGACAAUGUUAUUUGCCUCUUCAAUGACAGAUGAAAGUAGGGUGCGGCUUAUAUUCAGGUGCGCUUAAUAGUCCGGAAAUUAUGGUACUUUAAUCAUGAAUCCGCUGUGCACAGGAUUGUGGCUCAGAAUAGCCCGAGACGGAUUGCUGCAAAAUCAGACAGGUAAAAUAGGCUCUGUUGCGUUUACAGCAAGUGGAUAUAGUACACGUUUAAAAACCUUUAUUUUACGAACUCAAACAGCAGAUCCCUUGUGUUAUAACAUCAUUUGAUUUAAAAAUAUAUAUUUAAUGAAUAGUUUUUCUUAUUUGAAUUGCUACCGAACAAAAUAAAAGGCAAUUGUAAAUAUUGUAACUGCUUGAUUUAGGUUAUUUAAUUAUCUUUUCUUUUAUUGCCUUGAUUUUGACUGCUGUUAAAAAUAUAUAUACAGCUCCAGCUACCUGUAUUGCAACCGUUCCAGUAUCUGCUGAAUUCUAAAACAGAAAUGUUUUUAGUAGUUUAUAAAAUACAAUGAAAAAAAUAAUAAUAAAACUCAGACAUGUAUUUCUGUAUUUUUUUCUGAAUUUCUCCUUUUUUGCUUUUCUUAUAUUGCCAUUGUGUGGCACAAUGUUUUUUAUUACAACGGACAGAUCAAAUGAAAUGUUUAUUCGUGCUGGCUUGAGCAGGGGGGCCUUGCGUGCGCUGCAGGAUUUUAAUCCAUGAUGGUGUAGUGUGUUACUAAUGGUUUUCUUUGAGACUGUGGUCCCAGCUCUCUUCAGGUCAUUGACCAGGUCCUGCCGUGUAGUUCUGUGCUGAUCCCUCAUCUUCCUCAUGAUCAUUGAUGCCCCACGAGGUGAGAUCUUGCAUGGAGCCCCAGACCGAGGGAGAUUGGCCGUCAUCUUGGACUUCUUCCAUUUUCUAAUAAAUGCGCCAACAGUUGUUGCCUUCUCACCGAGCUGCUUGCCUAUUGUCCUGUAGCCCAUCCCAGCCUUGUGCAGGUCUACAAUUUUAUCCCUGAUGUCCUUACACAGCUCUCUGGCCAUUGUGGAGGGGUUGCAGUCUGUUUGAUUGAGUGUGUUGACAGGUCUCUUUUAUACAGGUAACAAGUUCAAACAGGUGCAGUUAAUACAAGUAAUGAGUGGAGAACAGGAGGGCUUCUUAAAGAAACACUAACAGGUCUGUGAGAGCCAGAAUUCUUACUGGUUGGUAGGUGAUCAAAUAUGUAUGUCAUGCAAUAAAAUGCAAACUAAUUAUUUAAAAAUCAUACAAUGUGAUUUGGGGGAUUUUUGUUUUAGAUUCCGUCUCUCACAGUUGAAGUGUACCUAUGAUAAAAAUGAUAGACCUCUACAUGCUUUGUAAGUGGGAAAGCUGCAAAAUCGGCAGUGUAUCAAAUACUUGUUCUCCCCACUGUAUGGGGUGCACUUCCUUCAUCUGUAAUUUGAGAAAGCAGAUAAUAAAUACAAAGGUGUCAUACUAAA